rnacentral:rRNA from 1 species
UACGUAGGCAGCGAGCGUUGUUCGGAGUUACUGGGCGUAAAGAGUGCGUAGGCGGUUUUCUAAGUUUGGUGUGAAAUCUCCCGGCUCAACUGGGAGGGUGCGCCGAAGACUGGAAGGCUUGAGUAUGGGAGAGGUAAGCGGAAUUCCUGGUGUAGCGGUGAAAUGCGUAGAUAUCAGGAAGAACACCCGUGGCGAAAGCGGCUCUCUGGAACGGUACUGACGCUGAGACGCGAAAGCGUGGGGAGCGAACAGG